rnacentral:rRNA from 1 species
UAGGGAAUCUUCGGCAAUGGACGAAAGUCUGACCGAGCAACGCCGCGUGAGUGAAGAAGGUUUUCGGAUCGUAAAACUCUGUUGUUAGAGAAGAACAAGGACGUUAGUAACUGAACGUCCCCUGACGGUAUCUAACCAGAAAGCCACGGCUAACUACGUGCCAGCAGCCGCGGUAAUACGUAGGUGGCAAGCGUUGUCCGGAUUUAUUGGGCGUAAAGCGAGCGCAGGCGGUUUCUUAAGUCUGAUGUGAAAGCCCCCGGCUCAACCGGGGAGGGUCAUUGGAAACUGGGAGACUUGAGUGCAGAAGAGGAGAAUGGAAUUCCAUGUGUAGCGGUUGAAUGCAUAGAUAUAUGGAGGAACACCAGUGGCGAAGGCGGCUCUCUGGUCUGUAACUGACGCUGAGGCUCGAAAGCGUGGGGAGCAAACAGG